rnacentral:lncRNA from 1 species
CAGAGAGAUUCAUGGAAAGGACUCUGACGCUUGCUCUGGCAUACAGGUUUCUGAUAAACUUUCAGAUUAUAAGACUGAAUUGGGAAUUUGACUGCAAUGUCAUAUUUGAGAAAAACGUGCAGACUCAGAUACGAGAAGAGAAUGUUUGAGAAAAAAGAUUGACUUGAUGGAAUAAAGCCACCUGGAAAUCUUGGCCUGGUACCUUGUUUACAGGGUUUCCAGCAGCAUUACCAGAUGAGUAAGAAGGUCAUUUCUGGGGGCCCGGCCCUGUGGCUGAGCAGUUAAGUUCGCACACUCCACUUUGGCAGCCUGGGGUUUCGUCAGUUCAGAUCCUGGGUAUGAACAUGACACCACUUUUCAGGCCAUGCUGAUGCAGCAUCCCGCAUAGCACAACCAGAGACACUCACAACUAGAAUAUACAGCUAUGUACUAGGGGGCUUUGGGGAGAAGAAAAAAAAAGAAGAUUGGUAACAAUUGUUAGCUCAGGUGCCAAUCUUUGGGGGGAAAAAAGAAAAAGGUCACUUCUCUGGCAGGUGCAAGGAACCUUAGGAUAUUUUGGGGAACUUCAAGGGAAUAGAGGAAUUCACCCAAAUCUGUGGGUAUUACAGGCAGAGUCUGAUGACAAGUCCUUGGCUUUACUGGCUUUGAGAGGCUUUUAAAGUUCAAUAUGAGAUUCCUUAUAAAAAGUUCCAGCAGAACAGAUUUAAAAGAGCCUAUAGGGUCAAUUGCUAUUCUUGCUGUACUUAUGUAAAUAAUCAGGCCUAUUUUGUUGAAACUAGACUUAUUUUACAAACCAAUGAGUGUUAAUUUGGCUAUCUUUGGUAAAUGAAGGUGAUCUUAAAGAGAAAAAUGUUUCAGUAGAAACUAUAAUACAUAAUUGUGGAUGUUAGAUUCUGGUUCUAUUAAUUAUCUUUGAGGUUUUUGUUUUCUACCUGUACAUUGGACUGGAUCUUAAAUUCUUCUAGUUUCCUCAUGUCUGGCUACAAAUCUCCAAACCUGUUGCCAGAGAUGUAAUAUGGUGGGAGUAUCAGGGGCCCCAAAGAAGAAGUGGUUUAUCAAAACUUUAAGCUGCAAAUUAUGUGAGAAACAGUUAACCCAUUCAUUUCUAUAUGUGCCAGAAUGCCCUAUUCCUUUAGUGGUAGGGACCUACUGCAUAAAUUAGGAGCCUCCAUUUAUUUAAUGGGGGGACCAAUUGGAGGUAAACAUCCCCUCAGCCUUUGGUCACCAGCUGGUUACACUCUGAUGAAAGGGCCUGAGUCAAAAGAUUUAAAGGGAAACUUAGUAGAAUUGCCAGGGGUAAAUCCCCAAGUUUGGGCCCAAGGAAGAGUGGGCAUGUCAUCAAAGUGAACCCCGUGAUCAUCAAACUAAAACCUGGGCACAAGUGCCCAAAUGUCAAACAAUAUCCUCUCAGAUAAGAUGCCUUAAAUAGCAUGACCCCUCUCAUAAAGAACUUGAUUGAUCAAGGCCUCCUCAGGAUAUGCCAAUCAGCAUGCAACACUCCAAUUCUCCCAGUCCAAAAUCCAACUGGUGAAUACUGGAGGUACAAGAGAACAACUAGAGUAUGCCCUUCAGAAAGGGGAAACAGUGAAGGUACUCAGCAUAUGGCAACCAGGUCCUCCCCAGCCCCGUGGACCUGGCCCUCCACCCCUUCUAGCCCCAUGAUUGGGUGUACUUUAAGACAUGGAAAACUGGGAUCCCACAGGACCAGCUCACUCCUAUGUGGAAUGGCCUUAUCUGGUGAUUCUAAGCACUCACACUGCCCUCAAAUUACAGGGAGUCACCCCUUGGGUACACCACACCUGAGUCAAGAGAGCCCCUGAACCAGAAGACUUGGAAACUCCAAGCCAUCCUGACUUCUCCUAUGAGCCCCUCUCAGACCUAAAGCUCUUACUCCAGAGACAAAAAGAUAAGUCCUUGGUGGGCUGGCAUCCCACCCCCGUGGAGGUGCUGAGACUCCUUAUUCUGUCAUCUCUCUUAACUAUACUUAUCCUCACCUUGACCUGUGCUCCCCGUGGAGUGCCUAUUUCUACAGCACCACUAGGCUACAAAGAGAUGUUAGUUGGUUAAAUGAAAAAGGCCAAACAGACUUAACAAAAAAGAUCCAGAACGGGGUUAAACAGGCUCUUCCCAGCCUCACUUGGUUUCUACCACUUUUGGGGCCUCUGGUGGCUAUUCUGCUUCUUCUACUUUUUGGGCCUCGCAUCCUAAACUGUCUGGUUUCCUUUGUUAGCAAAGACUACUUAAACUCCAAAAGGUAUUAACCAGGGAUAUGAGAGGUUGGGAGUCCAACUAGAUGACAACCAAACUCAUCUAAAAGUUCCUAGAGAUAAGUUCUGCUCCUCUAUGGGCCCCUGUGAUGAUGCCCCUGGUCAGUUGGAAGUAGUUAUGGAAGAUGGAGCUUCAUCCUUUGCCUCUCAAGAAUGAGGAGCAGGACACAGUCAGAGGAAGAAUUUUGUCACCCAGGGAAGUCCCUAAAACAUUUUCCAUGUCUAAUGCUUUGUUUUUAAGUUGUGUUUACUGAUAAGAUCCAAGGCAGAACAAUGCCAAGUGGCCAAACGGCAGAACCAAUCCAAACCAGAAAGGUCCAAGAUGACAC